rnacentral:lncRNA from 1 species
GGCGAUGAUUCUUUGCUCUGCAUCCUAUCUCUGCCUCCAUCCAUGAGAUUGGUGGGAGUCUCGUCCUCUGUGAAGGCCUCUUCCAAGUGGGUGUAUUUCUCUGUCCUUGCCGCUAGAUCGAAAAAAUCCCAAGGGUAAGUUUUAGUUAAUGAUUUUUUUAAAUCAUUCUUCUAUAGUUCGCUCAUCAUCACGAACAUAGC